CUUAAAUAUAUGGUACAGAUAUGAUAAGGUGUGAUAAACAUUUGUUAAGCUAAAAUGUGUAUAUAUAACAAUGUUGGAUUAUUAUGACACGUUAAAGAACCCACAAUUUGUAUUAGCAUAUUAGCCUCUUUAAUUUUCUUUGAUUAGUUCUGUGAUUUAUUGUAAAGGAUGAUGGAAGAUGCUGAUGAUACAAAGAUCAAUGAAGAAAUAGAAACUGAAUUGGAUAAAAUCAGCAUUUCUUCUUUGGAAAAAGAUGAUGUAGACACUGAUUCAAUCUCAGAAAUCCAGAGUGAUGAGAGUGAUGCUGUGUCCCUCUUCUCUCUCCCCUCUCCCCUGUUUCCUGCUCCCUUGGGCUUCAUCACAAUAUUGUCAGUGUCCACAGGGACUUAGUUGAAUUACCGGAGUCAGUUCUUCACUGUAUUAACAUCAUAAAGAAAAAGAGUAAAACUGCUGAAGAGCUCAUUCUUCGGGACUUAGAAGAU